CAGCCGCCACGGGAAUACGAAGGGUGCAAGCGUUACUCGGAAUUACUGGGCGUAAAGCGUGCGUAGGUGGUGGUUUAAGUCCGUUGUGAAAGCCCUGGGCUCAACCUGGGAAUUGCAGUGGAUACUGGGUCACUAGAGUGUGGUAGAGGAUAGUGGAAUUUCCGGUGUAGCAGUGAAAUGCGUAGAGAUCGGAAGGAACAUCUGUGGCGAAGGCGACUAUCUGGGCCAACACUGACACUGUGGCACGAAAGCGUGGGGAGCAAACAGGAUUAGAUACCCCGGUAGUCCCUGUCUCUUAUAC
rnacentral:rRNA from 1 species